rnacentral:lncRNA from 10 species
GGACGAACUCUUUAGAACCAGCAAUGCCAAACACAUCCCACUCUGGGGAAGUUCAUUCUAAGUGUCAUGGAUCCUCUGGAAUUUUUUGAAGGUUUCCUGUUUUCUUCUCCCCCUAACCAGCUCAUCUGAUCUCCUGGGAUCUCUACUAAGAUGUUGGCAGCCCAACCAGCUGGUCUGGCCCUGGACAUGCCUUCAGGGACUGGUUAUGCUUCAUGACCUGUGUUGCGGUCAUUAGUAAACAGCACCUGCUUCUAGCUUUACUGUUGGGCCUGAUUUUAUCCCUACCCUGGCUUUUCAUUGCAGCUGCUUCCUGCUCCCUCCAUGGACCUGCACAGAAUUGUCCCAUGUUUCUGUUUGUUUGGGCACCACUGAGGAAGGAAGCAUGAAGGACGCAGAGGUCAGGCCAUUCUAUUGCCCUCCUGCUGCUGGGUCUUUAAUCCUGAGAUGGCUUCAGGGGCUGGUCCUUCUCCAUGGCCCCCUCCACAUAUCUCAGGUCUGCAGCCAUUUUGCAAACCCUGGUCAGAAUGAAACAUUCCUUGGGAACUCGGGCCAUGAGAAGCAUCCUUCCUGACCACCUGACUGCGGAAACAUCCUUAUCGCAUCCUCCCGGGCGAAGGCCCAACAGCCUGACUGCAGGAACAUCCUUGCCAUAUCCUGCCGGGCAGCAAGCUCUACCGCCCAGACCCCUCCUUCCCAGUCCCAUGAUCGCCCCAGCCUGUGAGCGGCAGUUGGUGAUGGCACUAAGCUGAUUUCCUCCUCUGCAGGGUUUUGCUAGUAAUAAAGG